CAUUACCGAGUUUACAACUCCCAAACCCCUGUGAACAUACCUUAAUGUUGCCUCGGCGGAUCAGCCCGCUCCCCGUAAAACGGGACGGCCCGCCAGAGGACCCAAACUCUAAUGUUUCUUAUUGUAACUUCUGAGUAAAACAAACAAAUAAAUCAAAACUUUCAACAACGGAUCUCUUGGUUCUGGCAUCGAUGAAGAACGCAGCAAAAUGCGAUAAGUAAUGUGAAUUGCAGAAUUCAGUGAAUCAUCGAAUCUUUGAACGCACAUUGCGCCCGCUGGUAUUCCGGCGGGCAUGCCUGUUCGAGCGUCAUUUCAACCCUCAAGCCCCCGGGUUUGGUGUUGGGGAUCGGCUCUGCCUCACGGCGGUGCCGCCCCCGAAAUACAUUGGCGGUCUCGCUGCAGCCUCCAUUGCGUAGUAGCUAACACCUCGCAACUGGAACGCGGCGCGGCCAUGCCGUAAAACCCCAACUUCUGAAUGUUGACCUCGGAUCAGGUAGGAAUACCCGCUGAACUUAAGCAUAUCA
rnacentral:rRNA from 1 species